rnacentral:rRNA from 1 species
GGCGGAGCGGUAAGUCAGUGGUGAAAGCCCCCAGCUCAACUGGGGAACUGCCAUUGAAACUGCUGUUCUUGAGUACAGUUGAGGUAGGCGGAAUGUAUCAUGUAGCGGUGAAAUGCAUAGAUAUGAUACAGAACACCUAUAGCGUAGGCAGCUUACCAAACUGUAACUGACGCUGAGGCACGAAAGCGUGGGGAGCAAACAGGAUAAGAUACCCUGGUAGUCCACGCUGUAAACUAUGAUCACUCGCUGUUGGCGAUACACUGUCAGCGGCUAAGCGAAAGCAUUAAGUGAUCCACCUGGGGAGUACGGCCGCAAGGUUGAAACUCAAAGGAAUUGACGGGGGCCCGCACAAGCGGAGGAGCAUGUGGUUUAAUUCGAUGAUACGCGAGGAACCUUACCAAGGCUUAAAUGCUAGACGACCGUUCCCGAAAGGGGACUUUCCUUCGGGACGUCUUGCAAGGUGCUGCAUGGUUGUCGUCAGCUCGUGCCGUGAGGUGUCGGGUUAAGUCCCAUAACGAGCGCAACCCCUAUUCUUAGUUGCCAUCAGGUAAUGCUGGGGACUCUAAGGAAACUGCCUACGCAAGUAGUGAGGAAGGUGGGGAUGACGUCAAAUCAGCACGGCCCUUAUGUCUUGGGCUACACACGUGCUACAAUGGCCGGUACAGAGGGUAGCUACCUGGUGACAGGAUGCUAAUCUCGAAAGCCGGUCUCAGUUCGGAUCGAAGUCUGCAACUCGACU